AAUUAGACUUUGAUGAGAAGAGUAAGCUUAAAUUCAUUCUAUAGAGAUCUCAAGUUGGUGAAAAUGAGAGUUUGAAUUAUGCUGAAGAUGAGCUCGGAGUUGCAAUCGGCGGUGCAAGCCUUAGAUUCGUGAGGAUACGAUAUAAUCCCUAACAUAAUUGUGUUGAUGAGGUUUGAUCAGUGAUGAUUGAACGAACUUGGGUGGUACCGCGUAUUGACUGACGUCCCUGUA
rnacentral:ncRNA from 1 species